GGCACAAAGUUAAUUUCUGGGCAUAGGGCAGCAAUAUGGGAUACACAUCAUAAAGUCACCCCAAGACACACAUCUUUGUUUUAUGUAAUGUCACUCUACAGUUGUAUUAUUCAUAUAAACUUGAGAUACUUUUUGGAUUUGUCCAGGAAGGUUAAGACAGCAUGUGCCAUACUUUCCCAUUUAUUUUACAUUAUGAGCUUUUAAAAUUCUUGAGGUAAAAAGAUUUUCUUCCUUCUCAACAGAAAUAGUUUCUUUGUUGCUCAUAAAGAUUUAAUGCAGAAAGGACUAUUCUCCCAAAACCUAUGGAAUAUGCUUACUUGCUGCAGAAAAAUACAGCAACAUUUUGGAAACUUCCUACAACUUCAGUUCAAGCCACAAAAGAGCUGCUGGCCUUUCAUGGGCACAAAUUCCCUGGGAAUUUAUCUCUUUUCUCUAACAGUGUGUAAAUCAUAACUAAGAUAAUGUUUGUAAGAAAAAACCACCCUUGUAUUUGUUAGGUUUGAGCUAAAAGGAGAAGGAGAAAUUAGGCUUAAUUGAGGUUUUAUGCCUUUCCUUGGUUUCCUUAUCCCACUUUAAGAGAGGGGUAAUAAAGCUCACUUGGAAAUGUUUAGUGCAUGGUCACGAGUAGUUUGGAGUAAUGGUUGAUCUCAUGCAAUUUCCGAACUUUAUUAAAUCUCUGGUAAUUUUCAGAUAGUUUUACCUUUCACCUAGAAACUCCUCUCCAUAACCAUAUGGGAGGGAUCCAUUUAAUAUUACAAAUAAAUAGAUUUUCUGCCACCCAAGAUUUAAAUGCAAUUGAUGUUUUGUUUACUCUCUACCUCUCAUCUAAUAUAACCUUCUCCAUUUCUCAUCCUUGUUAUUACUUUUCCAAACUGGUGAGCUUUGAGGAUGUAAUUUAUACAAAAAAAUUCUGUGCUAUUAAAAAACCCAAGAUAAUUUAUUGUGCUGAAAUAAAAUUCCCAGCACGUAAAGUCCUUAAAGUUAGCAUGAUUUGAAGAUGUUUUCAGACAUAUUAGGUCAAAUUCUCAUCCCUUGGAGCCUGUUGACAUGGACUACAAUCAUAUUUUUCCAUCCUGGACCCCAAUAGAAAAAAUUGAAUCAAAAUGAAACACUUAAUUAGUCUGAAAAGUAUUUUCCUAUUAACUGAAUAGUCGCAGCAAUAACUCACUUGUAAUUUGGAGUUAAAAUGGUUUUCCCCUUCUUUAGUGUUAUCCUUAGUGGGAAGUGGAUAACUCCUGCAAUAAAUCAACGGGCACAGCUACUGCUGAUACCAAUCACAUUUGAGUGUGCUGCCCUGCUCCCCAGAGAUGCUCUCUGGGAGGUUUUCUUGGCUUGAGCCCACACAUUUAUUUAACCCACAUGUUAUUUUCCCAAAGGAGCAUCUCAACAGUUUUGAAUGCCCCUCACAGCAGAUGGAGAUGGUACAACCAUAUACUCAGGAGCAACAAAAGAGGAAUUUCCACUACCCAGCAUUUGUCAUGUGGUGGAAGUGGGCUGUUGUGUCAAGGCCAAUGGAGAAACUCUGAAGGAAGAUUGGUUGUUUCUUCCCAGCAGCUCUGCCACGUGAAGGAGCUCCAGGGGACUUGGGCUGUAGAGAAAGGUUACACUUCAGGCUGCUUUGCAGAUGCGGUGCAUCAUCCUGGAGCCAUUUUUUUUGUCCAGCUGUAAGUAAACUCAUGAACACCCCUGUGUUCUGUGGAUGUCCCAGGGUACAGCAGGGGUUUUCAUUCUCCUAAUUAUGACUUGCUGGGAAAUACUUUCAUUUUCACAUAGGUGCUGGAGUUAAAGAGAAAAGAUUCAGUGAAGCAUUAAUUUAUGUAAAAAAAAAAAUCCUUACAUUGAUGCUAUCUGAAUUAACUUUUACUGUCUUUAUUUAAUUUUUACUUAAAAUUAAAAUAACAUGUCUGCA